rnacentral:rRNA from 1 species
CUAGCCGUAAACGAUGGGUACUAGGUGUGGGUGGUUUCGAUACCAUCCGUGCCGUAGUUAACGCAUUAAGUACCCCGCCUGGGGAGUACGUGCGCAAGCAUGAAACUCAAAGGAAUUGACGGGGGCCCGCACAAGCGGUGGAGCAUGUGGUUUAAUUCGAAGCAACGCGAAGAACCUUACCAGGUCUUGACAUCACCUAGCAAGCCAUGGAAACAUGGCUUCUCUUCGGAGCAGGGAGACAGGUGG